rnacentral:rRNA from 1 species
CCUACGGGAGGCAGCAGUGAGGAAUAUUGGUCAAUGGACGAGAGUCUGAACCAGCCAAGUAGCGUGAAGGAUGACUGCCCUAUGUGUUGUAAACUUCUUUUAUAUGGGAGUAACACGCCUUACUUCUAGGGUUUUACGUGUACCGUAUGUAUAUGGACCCGCUAAUUCCGUGCCAGCAGCCGCGGUAGUACGGAAGGUUCGGGCGUUAUCCGGAUUGAUUGGGUGUAAAGGGAGCGUAGGCCGCAUGUCAGGCGUGCUGUGAACUGUCCGGGCUCAACCCGGGCCUUGCAGCGCGAACGGGCGUGCUGGAGUCAGCGGAGAGCAGGCGGAAUUCGUCGUGUAGCGGUGAAAUGCU